GUGCUUCCUUCAGCAGCACGUAUACUAAAAUUGGAACGAUACAGAGAAGAUUAACGUGGCUGCUGCACAAAAAUGACACACAAAUUUGUGAAGUGUUCCAUACUUUU
ensembl:snRNA U6 U6 spliceosomal RNA